AGUAUAGAAAUGAACAGGAUACACUGAAGUCCCUUCUAUCUUGUAUCAUUUUGUGCUCUGAUUUGGGGGGGGUUCAUUUUUUAUGCAAUAAAAAUGUGAUUGACUACUGUGUGCUGGCUUUUGUUCGAGCUGUCAGUUCAUUAGCACUUCCAACUAGAGUGGGAAGAAGCAGAGAACUGGAUAAAGCUCACGUCCACUAGUUUUGAGCUGUUUAGCAUUCCUAGUUCGGAGACAAAUUUGGUGGGAAAAGACUUGGAUGAGACUUAUUUGUCCAACUCUUUUUCUAUACCCCAUGUAAUUAUUAAACUGUAUGUGUGUAUAUGUGUGUAUAAGCAGUCAACCAGCAUAGUUGCAGAGCCCCUUAGCUACUCAAAAAUUCAUCCCUCAACCCGUAAUUUAUGAAUACUUCAUCAAAUUCAUUCCUACAAUACACAUGCUGAUGGUCAUAGCUAUUUACUUAUUAGAUCAAUUUUAGAAAAUAUUAUGUUUGGGUAAAUAAUCUCUUUAAUGGUGGUUUAUUGUGUCACGUGUAUACAUGGUCCUGAAUAUUAAUAUGAAAGAACCCACUUUUUUUCCUACGAGAUAAGAAAAAUCAAGGUACCAAAACCUACAAUGCUGAAAUGUACUAGAAUGGAUUAAGGAAAGAAGAAAUUUGCAAUAGGGAUUCUUGUCUUUUAUCUUCCAUAUGAAUGACAUCCUAAAUAUAUAUGAUGCUGACCUACAUUUCUAUAGUUGAAGGCUAUUUUCUGAGUGAAAUCAGCUACAAUGAAAUGUGCAGUAACAGACAUACAAAAAGGAAUAGGCAACAGAACUCAAAUUGAAGAAUUAAAUGGGCAAGAGGUGAACAGAAUAAAGUGCAGAACCUCAUAUUUGGUAGGCUUUAAGAAAGAUUUUUACCUCUUAAGGACAGAAAAACUACUCCUUUAAGAGUUUUGCCAAGUCUGCAAAACAAGAUUCUGGCUUUGUUCAGCUUCUUCCUCUCCUCUAUCUUCUGAGAAGAGAAGACAUGUUAAAAGAAAGCAAUGCUUUGGCAUCAGUAAUGGAGAAUUGUCAGAGAACCAACAGAAAGAAGCAAUGCCUGCAAGGUGGUAGGAAGAAGAAAAAGACUUCACAGGAGAGGGUGGGCAGAGGAAAGUAAAAACAGCCCAAGCUGGAGGCAGAGGAAAUGGCUCAGGGGAGAAGCUAGGAGUGAGAAUAGCUGUGGGGUGUGAAGGCAGCUUGUAGAAAAGAGAAAAGAACAUUUUUUUAGGAAAAUUUCUGAGAGCUA
rnacentral:lncRNA from 1 species